GGCGGCGACGGUGGAGGAGGCGACAUGCGGCUCCUGUUCCUGGCGGUGUUGCGGCCGCAUACGGGCAACGCGGUCACGGCCAAGCGUGUGCGGAACCAUCUAGAAGCUGCAGGACAUGUGUGCAUUCUGAAAGAUGCCUCUGACUCUGAACGCGCAUCUGAUAUUGCCAGCCUCAUCAUGGCUGAGAACUUGGAGGCAGCACUGGCCCUUCAUCUCUACCGGGCAGGCAGACUUCUGCAAGGCCAUGGCAUUCCUUUUGGAGUCAUCUUUGGUGGAACAGAUUUAAAUGAAGAUGCGAACCACAGAGAAAAAAACGAAGUCAUGGGAAAAGUUCUCAAGGAAGCCAGGUUUGCUGUCGCUUUUACAGAGUCAAUGAAGGAAAUAGCACAGCAGCAGUGGCCACAUGCAAAGGGUAAGAUCUUUGUCCAGAGCCAAGGAAUUGCAACAACACCUAAUUCUGCCUUUAACUGGGACAGCUUUCUACAGAAGUUAGAGAUUACCCAAAGUGCUGACAGCCUGUAUGUGUUCCUUCUGAUAUGUGGACUUAGGCCAGUGAAGGACCCUCUGUACUUAGUGGAUGCAUUCUCAGAAUGGCACCAGGAAGCACCAAACGUUUACAUGGUGAUUGUGGGUCCUGAGGUGGAUCCUGUGUUUACCAAGGAAGUGAAAGCCCGAUUGAGAAGGGCCACUGGGGUGCGGUUGAUCCAGGAGAUGAGUCAGGGAGACCUUCACACAGUCAUGAAGAGCUGCUUUGCGCUGGUGAAUAGCUCUAUCUCUGAAGGCAUGUCUGCUGCCAUCCUUGAGGCAAUGGAUCUGGAAGUGCCUGUCCUGGCCAGGAACAUCCCAGGAAAUGCUGCGGUAGUGGAACAUGGCGUAACAGGACUGCUAUUUACAGACCCUGAGGAGUUUGUUCAACUGGCAAAGAAACUGAUUAGUGAUCCCACCUUGGAAAGAGAGAUGGUAGCUAAUGGAAGAGAAUAUGUGAAACGGCAUCAUUCAUGGCAUGCAGAAAGAGAAACCUACCAACGCCUUCUCACAAAGUUGGAGGCAAGCUUGGAGGGCUAAGUGAUGGAACCCAGCAUUUCACCACAUGCUGUUCCACAAGACACCAGCUUUGAGCAUCAAUCCCCAGCAACACUACAACACUAGAUGUGCUUUGGCACGGUCUCAGAGAGCUUGUGACUCAGUUCUACCUGGAAGUACAUAGGACUCAGUCUCAGAUGUGUUUACUGAUCCAGGCCAGUGAUGGAGGUGCAUCUCAGGCCUUUUCGGGGAAAACUAAAAAAGCUGCUUUUACAACUUUCUUAGGGACAGUAGAGACUUACUGUAAGUAAUCACAGUGUAGACCCUUUCUCUGUCUUCUGAAUGACCUGUGCCAGUUCACUAAGCAGGAACCACAACAACAAAAAUCAAGAUUGUCAACCAAGUGAAGCCAGCAAGGUUUUUGAUUUGAUCCUGAUGUCCACCCUGCCUUCCUGAUGGGCAUGUGAGAGCCCAGGCCAUAGCUGCCCUUCUGUAAGCUCUGGGGAUACUGUGAAUGAAUUAUUUGUGUCCAACAAUUGCCUCUUCCCUGCUACAUCUGACUGAUGAGCAUACUUUCUAGAAGAGACCAGGCUGCCCUGCAGACCCCACCUACCUCUUGCGUCACCACACUCAGAGCCUGGAAGAUAACUGGGGACUCUGAGAUGAAGGCCAGAAUCUCUGGUUUUAUGUGGGUCUUUCCCUCCCACCUGCAUGAAACUGAGGACAAGUGUUGAAUGGGUACAAGCUUGUAGCUCAUGGUAGGACCUAGGACUGUGACUAUGAGACGUUACCAAGGGAGUGCAGUCCUGGGGUUACAGCAGUCACAUUAGCAUGCUGCUCCUGACGUGACCACUGUUGCCUUCAGGCAACUGUGUGCCUGUAGCAGCUCUGCCAAGUGCAGAAUUAUUGCAUUCCAUGAAUCUCAGGCUACCGUUAGUUGGCAUCCUAAUGUCUGGCAACUCUGUGAGUCAGAAAGCAGACAGCUUAGAGGAGUAAAAGGUUAGAAGGUAGAUGGAGCCGGGCCUGGUGGCACACACAUUUAAUCCCAGCACUCGGGAGGCAGAGUAGGAGGAUCGCCAUGAGUUCGAGGCCACCCUGAGACUACAGAGUGCAUUUCAGGUCAGCCUGAGCUACAGUGAGACCCUACCUCAAAAAAUAAAAAAACAAACAAUAACAGCAGCAAAGAAGGUAGUUUAUUCAGGCUCUGAAUGGAGGUGGGGAGAAGUUGGGACAGAUAUUCUCCUUGCUUUAAAUUCAAUGGUACAUCCUGGGCCUUUUGCUUUCCAGUCAUUAUGGUCUUAAAAAGUAGCAGAAGAAACAUCUUAUUUUAAGAAAAGCAGGUUCCAGAUAAACUUUAUAAGCCAAUGCCUCAGGGACAAGACAAGUGUGCUUUGACUCCAUACUAUGUUGUUUGACAUGUCAUUUUGUACCUCAGACCCCUUGUAGUCACUUUCUAGGAAGGACCCCAGCUGAGGCAGCAAGGUACUUCUUAAGCUCCAAGCAUUGAGAAGCUGCUGAAACAUGUCCCCUUUCUUUGGCUCCUGACCUGUGCAGGGAGAGAGAAGGAACAAUGGGCCCUGAGGCCUGGAGCUGAAAACUGGACCCGGCCAUCACCCUCAAAGGAACACUCCCAAAGACCCAUUUCCACUAAUCACACGUCCCACCAAAAGUUCCACCAUGUCCCCAAACAGUGCUGUCAGCUGCAGACCAAGUGUUCAAACACCGGAGCCUAUGUAUCCAUUUCUCACUCAAACUAUAGCACUCCAUUUCACCAAUCCAAGCAUGUCCUGCCUCUUUUUCAACAAUUCUACUUCUUAGUACAUUUCUAUUAUAUUACUAUUGUAAAUGUUUUAAACACUUUACAUGUUGCUACCAGGUGUGGGAGGACUGUGGUCUUACUGUUUGAUCAGAGUAGGGAGAAAAUCUCAUUGUGGUCUAACCAAGAUAGGUGCAUGAUUUCCCUCACUAAAGAGGCUCAAUUAUUGUCUUCAUGGGGCCAGGUAUCCACAUACCUUCUGUUUUUCCUCCACCCUCAGUAAGUGACCCUAAGCUCAUGAUAUGAAGUGUGUCUGCUUCCAGACAGGAAGAACUAAAGCAGGAACAAAGUGCCCUUCCUCCUUGGUUGUAUCUCAUGGCCACACACUGCUGAAUGGGAAGCCAGGAAAUGCAAAUUCUGUGCUGAGCCACCAGGACUCAGUAGAAAGUUAGUGAUCUGUAACUGAGAAAGAAUGGGAAUGCAUAUUUAGGAUGAUAUAGCAGUCAUUAACAUAAGCUGGGUUUAGAUUCUGGUGGAGGGCACGGGCACCCUACUUUGAAUACCUUUAAUGUCAGGAACAGCGUUUCUGCUGGGUUUAAUUUAGCCUUUAAAGCAACCCAUGACACUUCUCCUUGAGGUGCCAUUUGUAGUUCAAGUCCUCUGCCAGCUCACUUAUCGAUUCUACCUCAAAUCUUGCCAUUUCUAAGUUAAAAACCCAGAGUGAGAGUACAUGAGUUUUCACUGUCCAAAAUGCUCCUUUGUAUCAAGUGAAACACAGUGAAAUUAGAUGUAUUGAUCAUAUACAUACACUUGUUCCCUCUGAAUGUCCUCAUGGCUGCCCUGAAUAACUUAGCACCUUAUAAUUUGGAUUGGAGGGUCUAGGGGCAUUGAGAUCUUUUCUGAAGGGUUCCAUGAGCCAGACUUUGACUGAACUCAUUCAUGAUGUGGACUGGGGAGAUGGCUCAGUGAGUAAAAGCAACCCACACACAUGAGUUUGGAGUUUUUGAGUUGGAUUGAAAAUGGUAACUUGGUCUUGCAAACCACUUUUCUUUGAGAGGAAUAGAGUCUAGCAAGAACUGUGGUGGUGACCUUGUGUUCCAGUGGGGCUUACCCACUCUGUGUUAAUGGUGUCUGCUUUAUUAUUCACACCUCCACCCAACAAGUGCUUGCUGGAGUGGCAUUCUCAGGGCUGUGGAUACAUCCAUGGAAAUGAUGUUGUACUUCACAGGAUGGCUUUCUGUGGGUUUCCUAAGCUGUGUGUACUACUGGAGCCUUCUUGACAGUAUGUAAUCAGAGUGGAUUGGCUAUUACAAAGACAUUAGGACCAAAGAUCAGGGAGAAACCUCAAGAGUUUCACAGAGCGCAAACCCAACCCAAGGUGCUGCUUGGAAUCCUGAAUCUCCAUAAACUCCAAGGGGAUUCUGUAAAAAUAAACACUGAAGAAGCUAGGGGUAGAACCAGGUUAAAAGCAUGACUUCCUUUCUAUCUGUGGCACUCCCUGCCCCAGUAAGGAGAUUAUUGCAUGAUCCAUCUCUCCUUUCAGACACCUAAAAAAUUUUUAAGAAUCCAAGCAGAGAGAGAUGUCUUUCAAAAAAAAAAAAAAAUCAUCCUAUUC